ensembl:misc_RNA Metazoa_SRP Metazoan signal recognition particle RNA
GCUGGGCGUGGUGGUGCGCGCCUGUAAUCCCAGCUACUUGGGAGGCUGAGGCAGGAGAAUUACUUGAACCCAGGAGGCAGGGAUUGCAGGGAGUGGAGAUCACGCCAUUGCACUCCAGCCUGGGCAACAGAGUAAGACUCUGUCUCAA